AGACAACCCUGAGAAGCUCAGAAAGAAUGUUUGAAGUAGGUAGAUUUGGAUAAUUUCUAUCUUAGAUAGAAUUUGCUUAGCAUGAGUAGCCGCACACUUGCUUAGCAUAAGUAGCUAAAUUUGCUGAAGCCUUAGGCCGCGCUCCUAGUUCGUUAAGAAAAGGCCUCAGAGCUGGUGCAGGCUGGAAAGAUAAGGGAGUUACAAGCAGUCUGCAUUCCUGUGCCCCACUCUCCGAAAGGGAGGAUGUCAAGGCUGUGAAAUAAGGCCUGCUUGGGCGCCAGGACCUUGGGAAGCAAAGCCUCCUCUCACUGUUGAAACAGUGUUAAUUAAGGGGUCUGGAUUAUGUCCUCUUCCUCAGGACCUUGGGAGAUAACGUCUACUGACCUAGCUGGGGCAGUGUUAAUUGACCAGGUCCUUGAGAAGCAGGGGUGGGAUCCAGGGAAUGAAGAAAUCACUAACCAAUCAGUGUAAAAGGGAAAGUCGUAAAUCUGGCAAUUUGUGUGUAUAAAUGCUACUUGAAAAGUUGGGGGGGUGUGCUCGAUUUGUGGGAGACCACCGAGCACCCAGGCUUGCGCAACUCUGAAAUAAAUAAAUAAAUGUCUCUCCUGAGUGUGUAAUUAUUGGCUCAUUGCACACCGGGCAACGAAUCCGCUUUUCGGACAACAGUUUUCUGGCGACCCAGGUGGGACCCUCGCUGUAAAGCCUUGCCCGGAUCGUCUUACCAGUUCCGGCAGGGAGACGCUGCUCAUCAGACUCCAGCGCGCACCGACCGUUUUGUUCGGGGACUCCGUGAGCACCCUCCCUGGUCGGAACAGCCAGGAGAUCAAGUAUACCUUCGGACCUGGAAGGACGAGCCGUUGGUAGAAAAGUGGAGGGGACCGUAUCUUGUACUGCUAACAACAAAUACUGCUGUGAAACUGCAGGGAAUUGAUUCCUGGAUCCACUACACCCGAGUGAAAGCAGUACCUCGAGAGACGUGGAAAGCUGAACAAGUUCAACCUUUAAAGUUAAAAAUAUAUAAAGAUAUUUGAGUUGUAUUGAAAGCGAAUCGGUUUUAAAUUUAGAUUGUAUUCAGGAAAGAAUUGCUUUAAUCUGUUUGUUAGGAAUAGGGUUAAUAUUGUUGUUAUGGUAUCUAUAGUAUCUGUGUAAAAAUGAUGUUCUCCCAAAUAACCAGGAGAGAAAUGUGGUGGUUAGUUUUUCUAAGUUACCUGAGCCAAACAAUUAAAGGGAACCAGGAAGGAUUUUGGAGCCAUAAUCUCCAUUUGGAAGUAAUUAUGAAAUCUAUGAAGAUAAUUAACCAGAAGGAUUGCUGGGUGUGUACCCACUUCCCUGAACAUUCUAACAAGGGCUUCCCCCUAAUUGGAGUGCCUCUUAAUUUUUCCUUUAUGGAAUUUAUGAAACAGAUAAGAAAUGAUAGCGAUCAAACGAAAUAUAAUGAAACAACCGAACAGGAAUGGGAAGUCCAGAGUGUGACAGGAGAUUAUUAUCAAUGUGUCCGAAGAUGUAAUAAUAGUAAUAGAUGGUGGGAAAAAACUGUACCCUAUGGAAAGCAACCGAUCAACUGUACUGGGGCCAUUAAGGUGGGAGGUUAUAAAAAUUGCUCUCAUAUACCUGAAAUAGGUUAUAAAUGGCCAAGUAAGGAACUAAAUGGGUGGCAUGUUCCGAAAGGUAGUGGAUGGUAUUGGUUGUGUGGGAACAAGGCACGAAAAGUGCUACCUCCUAAUUGGUCAGGGACGUGUACUUUAGGGGCAAUAAUCCCUAAUGUUACUAUAAGAAAAGAACUAAGUAAUAAAUAUCAAAAAUCCUGGCUAAGAACAUUCAUGAGGAGACAAAAGAGGGUCAAUAAUCCUUUAAUGGAUCGACCUACUCGGUUUCAGUCAUUCGUAAGGUGGCUGUUUCCACAAUUGGGAGUGAGCGAACUUGAAAAAGCAAUAGUAAAUAUUUCAGCAGUUAUUGAAAAAAUAGGGAAUAAAACCUCUGAUGCCAUUGCAGCUUUACAAGAGGAGGUUUCAGAAAUUGCUAAAAUAAGUACCCAAAACCGAAUGGCUCUAGAUAUGUUAUUGGCAUCUCAGGGAGGAGUAUGUACAGUAAUAAAUACUAGUUGCUGUGUAUAUGUGGAUCAAAGCGGGAGAAUUUCUACCGAUCUAAAUGAAAUCUGGAAGCAGACUGAAAUCUUACAUGAGGUUCAGAAAGAUGAUACUUCUUUCGGAUUUGAAGAAAUAUGGAAAUGGUUGACUUCCUGGUUCCCUGAUGUGAGCUCAUGGGUUAAAAAAUGUUUAACAAUUCUAGGAUUGAUGCUAGUAAUUUUUGUAUGCGUUUAUGUAGUGAUUCAAUGUAUUUCUAAGUGUUAUAUGAAACUAAUAUGGGAAAGAUUUUAAAAGAGUGAGACUAAUAUGAAAAUGAUCAUAUAAGUCUCAAAGGGGGGAAUUGUUACAAGACAACCCUGAGAAGCUCAGAAAGAAUGUUUGAAGUAGGUAGAUUUGGAUAAUUUCUAUCUUAGAUAGAAUUUGCUUAGCAUGAGUAGCCGCACACUUGCUUAGCAUAAGUAGCUAAAUUUGCUGAAGCCUUAGGCCGCGCUCCUAGUUCGUUAAGAAAAGGCCUCAGAGCUGGUGCAGGCUGGAAAGAUAAGGGAGUUACAAGCAGUCUGCAUUCCUGUGCCCCACUCUCCGAAAGGGAGGAUGUCAAGGCUGUGAAAUAAGGCCUGCUUGGGCGCCAGGACCUUGGGAAGCAAAGCCUCCUCUCACUGUUGAAACAGUGUUAAUUAAGGGGUCUGGAUUAUGUCCUCUUCCUCAGGACCUUGGGAGAUAACGUCUACUGACCUAGCUGGGGCAGUGUUAAUUGACCAGGUCCUUGAGAAGCAGGGGUGGGAUCCAGGGAAUGAAGAAAUCACUAACCAAUCAGUGUAAAAGGGAAAGUCGUAAAUCUGGCAAUUUGUGUGUAUAAAUGCUACUUGAAAAGUUGGGGGGGUGUGCUCGAUUUGUGGGAGACCACCGAGCACCCAGGCUUGCGCAACUCUGAAAUAAAUAAAUAAAUGUCU